UAAAUAGCCCGGCCAGCUUUUGCUGGUUGCCGGCUUCUUAGAGGGACUAUCGGCUUAAAGCCGAUGGAAGUUCGAGGCAAUAACAGGUCUGUGAUGCCCUUAGAUGUUCUGGGCCGCACGCGCGCUACACUGACGGAGCCAACGAGU
rnacentral:rRNA from 1 species